rnacentral:rRNA from 1 species
AAUCAACGCUGGCGGCGUGCCUCAGACAUGCAAGUCGAACGAUUAAAGCUCUCUUCGGAGAGUGCAUAGAGUGGCGCACGGGUGAGUAACACGUAAGUAAUCUACCUUCGAGUGGGGAAUAACGUCCGGAAACGGACGCUAAUACCGCAUAAUGCAGCGGCAUCGCAAGAUGACAGUUGUUAAAGAUUUAUCGCUUGAAGAGGAGCUUGCGGCAGAUUAGCUAGUUGGUAAGGUAAUGGCUUACCAAGGCUACGAUCUGUAACCGGUCUAAGAGGACGGUCGGUCACACUGACACUGAACAACGGGUCAGACUCCUACGGGAGGCAGCAGUCGGGAAUUUUGGGCAAUGGGCGAAAGCCUGACCCAGCAACGCCGCGUGAAGGAUGAAGUAUUUCGGUAUGUAAACUUCGAAAGAAUGGGAAGAAUAAAUGACGGUACCAUUUAUAAGGUCCGGCUAACUACGUGCCAGCCGCCGCAGUAAAAC